ACGUGAUCUGAGUUCAGACCGGAGAAAUCCAGGUCGGUUUCUAUCUAUGACAGCGCUCUCUCUAGUACGAAAGGACCGAAAGAGCAUGGCCCAUGCCCACCGUAAGCCAUCAUUAGUAACCCAUGUCAUCAACUCAAUUUUCUACUAACCUCCUACUACCCUCUAGAUAAGAGA
rnacentral:rRNA from 1 species